rnacentral:snoRNA from 1 species
CUUUUUCAUGAUGAUAUAAAGUUAUUCCUGUAUGAAGGCAAAGAAAGGCCUUUCUGUGUAAUUUUGGAUGUCUGAAACUCAG